rnacentral:rRNA from 1 species
AUUCCGGAAGGGAGCCUGAGAAACGGCUACCACUUCCUAGGAAGGCAGCAGGCGCGCAAAUUACCCAAUCCCGACACGGGGAGGUAGUGACAAUAAAUAACAAUACGGGGCUCUUUAGGGUCUCGUAAUUGGAAUGAGUACAAUUUAAAUCCCUUAACGAGGAACAAUUGGAGGGCAAGUCUGGUGCCAGCAGCCGCGGUAAUUCCAGCUCCAAUAGCGUAUAUUAAAGUUGUUGCAUUUAACAAGCUCGUAGUUGAAUUUCAGGAGUGCCGUUUAAAACCCUGCCUUUUUUU